rnacentral:rRNA from 1 species
ACGGAGCAACGCCGCGUGAGUGAUGAAGGCUUUCGGGUCGUAAAACUCUGUUGUUAGGGAAGAACAAGUGCUAGUUGAAUAAGCUGGCACCUUGACGGUACCUAACCAGAAAGCCACGGCUAACUACGUGCCAGCAGCCGCGGUAAUACGUAGGUGGCAAGCGUUAUCCGGAAUUAUUGGGCGUAAAGCGCGCGCAGGUGGUUUCUUAAGUCUGAUGUGAAAGCCCACGGCUCAACCGUGGAGGGUCAUUGGAAACUGGGAGACUUGAGUGCAGAAGAGGAAAGUGGAAUUCCAUGUGUAGCGGUGAAAUGCGUAGAGAUAUGGAGGAACACCAGUGGCGAAGGCGACUUUCUGGUCUGUAACUGACACUGAGGCGCGAAAGCGUGGGGAGCAAACAGGAUUAGAUACCCUGGUAGUCCACGCCGUAAACGAUGAGUGCUAAGUGUUAGAGGGUUUCCGCCCUUUAGUGCUGAAGUUAACGCAUUAAGCACUCCGCCUGGGGAGUACGGCCGCAAGGCUGAAACUCAAAGGAAUUGACGGGGGCCCGCACAAGC